AGCGGCGGACGGGUGAGUAAUGCCUAGGAAUCUGCCUGGUAGUGGGGGAUAACGCUCGGAAACGGACGCUAAUACCGCAUACGUCCUACGGGAGAAAGCAGGGGACCUUCGGGCCUUGCGCUAUCAGAUGAGCCUAGGUCGGAUUAGCUAGUUGGUGAGGUAAUGGCUCACCAAGGCGACGAUCCGUAACUGGUCUGAGAGGAUGAUCAGUCACACUGGAACUGAGACACGGUCCAGACUCCUACGGGAGGCAGCAGUGGGGAAUAUUGGACAAUGGGCGAAAGCCUGAUCCAGCCAUGCCGCGUGUGUGAAGAAGGUCUUCGGAUUGUAAAGCACUUUAAGUUGGGAGGAAGGGCAUUAACCUAAUACGUUGGUGUCUUGACGUUACCGACAGAAUAAGCACCGGCUAACUCUGUGCCAGCAGCCGCGGUAAUACAGAGGGUGCAAGCGUUAAUCGGAAUUACUGGGCGUAAAGCGCGCGUAGGUGGUUUGUUAAGUUGGAUGUGAAAUCCCCGGGCUCAACCUGGGAACUGCAUUCAAAACUGACAAGCUAGAGUAUGGUAGAGGGUGGUGGAAUUUCCUGUGUAGCGGUGAAAUGCGUAGAUAUAGGAAGGAACACCAGUGGCGAAGGCGACCACCUGGACUGAUACUGACACUGAGG
rnacentral:rRNA from 1 species